rnacentral:lncRNA from 1 species
GAUUACUUGUCUCGCUACUGAAUUUUCUUUAUAUAUUUUUUUCUAAGUACGUAUAAAAUUAUAGACUUGAGCUUUCCUUUUUCAUACACAAACUAAUCAUUAUAAAACCCAAUAAUGAUCCCCGAGGGAAAAACCACAUGGAGUAGAAGGCUUGGACGUGGACUGAGGUGUCGGACAGCAGGACAUGGUUCCGGGACUUUGCAGAUGAUUCUCUUGGGGGUCUGUAAAAGUUUCUAGAAGAAAAGGUUGGAAAGAAGCAUUAAUCUUGAAAUACAAUGGUGUGGAGCACAGCAAAGAGCUUUCUGGGGUCGGAAUGGAUAAAAUAAUGGAGAAAUGAUAAAAAACUGGAAGAUAUACUGUUGGAGAAGAGGAUCAGGAGUUAUGAGGCGAGAAGGAACAGAGGUUACUACAGUGAGUCUCCAACUUAGGAAUGAGUUCCGUUCUGGGAAAAUGUUCAUAAGUUGGAUUCAUCUGUAAGUCUAACAAACUGUGCCCAGCUUCCUUCCAGCCAUAAUCUGACUCAGGGUAUGGCCUUUAUGAGAAAUCAGGGGCUUUGAGAAACUCUCCUUUCAUGUGUCAGUGGUCAGCUUCAGCAAAAGGAAAGCCAAGGGGGUGUGGUUGCUCCCUGCUGUUUAGACUCUUCAGCCAUCAGAUCUGUACCUUCAGGUCAAGGAACAAUUCGUCUUUGGAAGAUGGAAGUACUCAGGAUAAUUAAAUGACUUUCUUCCUAGCAAUGGAGAUCUUGUUUAUUUGAGCAAAUCAGUGAAAAAAUUAUUUUACCAUGGGCUUACAAGAGGCUGGGAGUAUUUCUCUCACUAAUCCUGAAAUAACAGAGAGCUUUCAUUUCUCAUCACAGAGUAGAUUUGGUGGUGGUUUUUACCUCUUUCAACUCACCUGCUGCAGGUGAGUUUAGUCUAUCCAGGGCCAAGAAGAAGAUAUGGACGUGGUCAGGAAACGACUGGACUUGGUCCUCCUCACUGAAGAAGGGGUUAUCUGACAGUGGUUACCCACCUGCAUCAGCUGAGGAUCUUGGGAAACCGGGUACUCCAGAACCAUGGACUCAUGAGGGGUGGCUCCCAGGCAUGAGCAUUGCUUAAAAAUGUUCUUGGACAAUUCUAAUGUGCAGCCAGGGUUGAGAACUGCUAGAAACCCCUUCUGUUGGAGAGCAAGGUAACUAAGUUAAUAGUUACCAAAGAGUGAAUGGCUUACAGCAUUAUUCCCAUUUUCCAAAUCAGUAUCUAAUGGAGAUUCUGGUCAGGUGACGAAGUGUAGUGAGUUCUAUCUCAUCUGGCUCAGACAACUGCUGUGCUUAGUGGGCCUUGUUUAAGCUUCCUCUUCCUAAAAUUAGAUGUAUUAAACACUUGCCUGAUACCUAUAGAUGAGUAGAUGAUUUGUAAAACUGAAUUUUGUACAAGUGUAAAUAUGUUGAUUGUGUAUCUAUCUGUGUCAUUAGAGCUAUGCCAUGGUGGCAAAAAUGAAAGACUCUAAAACAAUGAGGAAGGCUAUUAGAAUAUUUGAGGCCUUAUUGUUUUUUAGAGGUACUUUUUUGACCAAUAUAGAAAGGGUUGGAUAUAAAGUUGUUCAGCUAUUGCUUAUAUUUUCUAGUUACCUACCAUACAUCUUCCUAGUUAUUAAACUUUCU